rnacentral:rRNA from 1 species
GAUGAACGCUAGCGGCAGGCUUAAUACAUGCAAGUCGAGGGGCAGCAGGUCUGUAGCAAUACAGAUGCUGGCGACCGGCAAACGGGUGCGGAACACGUACACAACCUUCCUUUGAGCGGGGAAUAGCCCGGGGAAACCCGGAUUAAUACCCCAUAGUAUAUUGAAGAGGCAUCUCUUUACUAUUAAAGAUUUAUCACUUAAAGAUGGGUGUGCGGCUGAUUAGGUAGUGGCGGGGUAACGGCCCACCAAGCCUACGAUCAGUAACUGGUGUGAGAGCACGACCAGUCACACGGGCACUGAGACACGGGCCCGACUCCUACGGGAGGCAGCAGUAAGGAAUAUUGGUCAAUGGACGAAAGUCUGAACCAGCCAUGCCGCGUGGAGGAUGAAGGU